rnacentral:rRNA from 1 species
UGGAGGCAACUCUGAACCAGCCAUGCCGCGUGAAGGAAGAAUGUCCUACGGAUUGUAAACUUCUUUUAUUUGGGAAGAAACCUUUCUACGUGUAGAAAGCUGACGGUACCAAACGAAUAAGGACCGGCUAACUCCGUGCCAGCAGCCGCGGUAAUACGGAGGGUCCAAGCGUUAUCCGGAAUCAUUGGGUUUAAAGGGUUCGCAGGCUGUUCAUUAAGUCAGUGGUGAAAUCUCUCGGCUCAACCGAGAAACUGCCAUUGAUACUGAUGGACUUGAAUAUAGUUGGAGUAGGCGGAAUGUGUAGUGUAGCGGUGAAAUGCUUAGAUAUUACACAGAACACCGAUAGCGAAGGCAGCUUACUAAGACUAUUAUUGACGCUCAUGAACGAAAGCGUGGGGAGCGAACAGGAUUAGAUACCCUGGUAGUCCACGCCGUAAACUAUGAUUACUCGAUAUUGGCGAUAU